UACGUAGGUGGCAAGCGUUGUCCGGAUUUAUUGGGCGUAAAGAGCUCGUAGGCGGCUUGUUGCGUCGACUGUGAAAACCCGCGGCUUAACCGCGGGCUUGCAGUUGAUACGGGCAGGCUAGAGUUCGGUAGGGGAGACUGGAAUUCCUGGUGUAGCGGUGAAAUGCGCAGAUAUCAGGAGGAACACCGGUGGCGAAGGCGGGUCUCUGGGCCGAUACUGACGCUGAGGAGCGAAAGCGUGGGGAGCGAACAGG
rnacentral:rRNA from 1 species